CGUUGUCACAUGCUUGUUUCAAAGAAUUAGCCCUGCAUGUUUAAGUACAGAUUCUAAAACGAAAGAAACCCCGAAAGGCUCAUUAAAUCAGUUAUGAUUUAUUAGAUUGUGCGUUCCACAUGGAUAACUGUGGUAAUUUUAGAGCUAAUACAUGCAAAUGGCCCUGACUUACGGAGGGGCGCUUUUAUUAGAUCAAAAUCAAUCGGGGCAACCCGUUUUUGUGAUGACUUUGGAUAACUUUGUGCCGACCGCAUGGCCUUGUGCCGGCGGGGUAUUUUUCAAAUGUUUGCCCUAUCAACUUUUGAUGGUAGGUGACAUGCCUUCCCUGGUUGUAACGGGUAACGGAGAAUCCGGGUUUGAUUCCGGAGAGGGAGCCUGAGAAACGGCUACCACCUCCCAGGAAGGCAGCCGGCGCGCAAAUUACCCCCUCCCGGCCCGGGGAGGUAGUGAUGAAAAAUAACAAUGCUGGGCUUCAAGUCCGGUAAUUGGAAUGAGUACACUUUAAAUCCUUUAACGAGGAUUUAGU
rnacentral:rRNA from 1 species